rnacentral:rRNA from 1 species
UACGUAGGGCGCAAGCGUUAUCCGGAAUCAUUGGGCGUAAAGCGCGCGUAGGUGGCCAUUUAAGUCCGCUGUGAAAGUCAGAGGCUCAACCUUUGAAAGCCGGUGGAUACUGGAUGGCUAGAGUACGGAAGAGGCGAGUGGAAUUCCUGGUGUAGCGGUGGAAUGCGCAGAUAUCAGGAGGAACACCAAUAGCGAAGGCAGCUCGCUGGGACGUUACUGACACUAAGGCGCGAAAGCGUGGGGAGCGAACAGG